CAUGCAAGUCGAACGCAGUAGCAAUACUGAGUGGAAGACGGGUGAGUAUGAUGUGGGAAUCUGCCUUUUGGUUUGGAAUAACUCGGGGAAACUUGAGCUAAUACUGGAUAAGCCCUCACGGGGCAAAGCUUUAGCGCCAAAAGAUGAGCCCGCACUUGAUUAGCUAGUUGGUGAGGUAAUAGCUCACCAAGGCAACGAUCAAUAGCUGUUCUUAGAGGAAGACCAGCCACAUUGGGACUGAGACACGGCCCAGACUCCUACGGGAGGCAGCAGUAAGGAAUCUUGCACAAUGGAGGAAACUCUGAUGCAGCGAUGCCGCGUGAGUGAAGAAGGCCUUUGGGUUGUAAAACUCUUUCGUCGGNGAAGAAAAUGACUGUACCCCGAAUAAGAAGGUCCNGNUUACUUCGU
rnacentral:rRNA from 1 species